GGCCGCCUGGCGAAAUGGCAUCGCGUCUGACUACGAUCUGAUCUCAGAGUCCGUCAUCAGGAGAUUGCAGGUUCGACCCCUGCGGUGGUCA
rnacentral:tRNA from 1 species